GAUGAAGAACGCAGUGAAAUGCGAUAAGUAAUGUGAAUUGCAGAAUUCAGUGAAUCAUCGAAUCUUUGAACGCACCUUGCGCUCCUUGGCAUUCCGAGGAGCAUGCCUGUUUGAGUGUCAUUAAAUUCUCAAGACCUGUCUGCUUUUUUGAUAGGUAUUGGAUUUUGGGGGUUGCAGGCUGUUUCAAAUAAAUAGCCUUGCUCUCCUUGAAUGUAUUAGUGGAGAAAAGCCAUUGAACUCCAUUGGUGUGAUAAAACCUAUCAAUGCCAGGAGCAAUAUCACUACUUCUCUCUGCUGUCUAACUGUGACUGUCUGUAUUAAUUAGUAUGGAUGGGGACAACUUGACCAACUUGACCUCAAAUCAGGUAGGACUACCCGCUGAACUUAAGCAUAUCAAUAAGCGGAGGA
rnacentral:misc_RNA from 1 species